CCUACGGGUGGCAGCAGUGGGGAAUAUUGCACAAUGGGGGGAACCCUGAUGCAGCAACGCCGCGUGGGUGAAGAAGUACUCCGGUAUGUAAAGCUCUGUCAGCAGGGAAGAAACUGACGGUACCUGACCAAGAAGCCCCGGCUAAAUACGUGCCGGCAGCCGCGGCAAUACGUAGGGGGCAAGCGUGAUCCGGAUUUACUGGGUGUAAAGGGAGCGUAGACGGCAAGGCAAGUCUGGAGUGAAAGCCCGUGGCCCAACCACGGGACUGCUUUUGAAACUGUGUUGCUUGAGUGCAGGAGAGGUAAGCGGGAUUCGUAGUGUAGCGGUGAAAUGCGUAGAUAUGAGGAGGAACACCGGUGGCGAAGGCGGCUUACUGGACUGUAACUGACGUUGAGGCUCGAAGGCGUGGGGAGCAAACAGGAUUAGAUACCCGGGUAGUC
rnacentral:rRNA from 1 species